rnacentral:rRNA from 1 species
GCCUGAUGGAGGGGGAUAACUACUGGAAACGGUAGCUAAUACCGCAUAACGUCGCAAGACCAAAGAGGGGGACCUUCGGGCCUCUUGCCAUCGGAUGUGCCCAGAUGGGAUUAGCUAGUAGGUGGGGUAACGGCUCACCUAGGCGACGAUCCCUAGCUGGUCUGAGAGGAUGACCAGCCACACUGGAACUGAGACACGGUCCAGACUCCUACGGGAGGCAGCAGUGGGGAAUAUUGCACAAUGGGCGCAAGCCUGAUGCAGCCAUGCCGCGUGUAUGAAGAAGGCCUUCGGGUUGUAAAGUACUUUCAGCGGGGAGGAAGGGAGUAAAGUUAAUACCUUUGCUCAUUGACGUUACCCGCAGAAGAAGCACCGGCUAACUCCGUGCCAGCAGCCGCGGUAAUACGGAGGGUGCAAGCGUUAAUCGGAAUUACUGGGCGUAAAGCGCACGCAGGCGGUUUGUUAAGUCAGAUGUGAAAUCCCCCGG